rnacentral:rRNA from 1 species
AGUCGAGCGCGCCCUUUCGGGGUGAGCGGCGGACGGGUUAGUAACGCGUGGGAAUGUACCCUUCUCUACGGAAUAGCCUUUGGAAACGAAGAGUAAUACCGUAUACGCCCUUCGGGGGAAAGAUUUAUCGGAGAAGGAUCAGCCCGCGUUAGAUUAGAUAGUUGGUGGGGUAACGGCCUACCAAGUCUACGAUCUAUAGCUGGUUUUAGAGGAUGAUCAGCAACACUGGGACUGAGACACGGCCCAGACUCCUACGGGAGGCAGCAGUGGGGAAUCUUAGACAAUGGGCGCAAGCCUGAUCUAGCCAUGCCGCGUGAGUGAUGAAGGCCUUAGGGUCGUAAAGCUCUUUCGCCAGAGAUGAUAAUGACAGUAUCUGGUAAAGAAACCCCGGCUAACUCCGUGCCAGCAGCCGCGGUAAUACGGAGGGGGUUAGCGUUGUUCGGAAUUACUGGGCGUAAAGCGCGCGUAGGCGGACCAGAAAGUUGGGGGUGAAAUCCCGGGGCUCAACCCCGGAACUGCCUCCAAAACUCCUGAUCUAGAGUUCGAGAGAGGUGAGUGGAACUCCGAGUGUAGAGGUGAAAUUCGUAGAUAUUCGGAAGAACACCAGUGGCGAAGCGGCUCACUGGCUCGAUACUGACGCUGAGGUGCGAAAGUGUGGGGAGCAAACAGGAUUAGAUACCCUGGUAGUCCACACCGUAACGAUGAAUGCCAGUCGUCGGGUAGUAUACUAUUCGGUGACACACCUAACGGAUUAAGCAUU